AAAAGCUCAAAUUUGAAAUCUGGCACUUUCAGUGUCCGAGUUGUAAUUUGAAGAAGGUAACUUUGGAGUUGGCCCUUGUCUAUGUUCCUUGGAACAGGACGUCACAGAGGGUGAGAAUCCCGUGCGAUGAGGUGUCCAAUUCUAUGUAAAGUGCUUUCGAAGAGUCGAGUUGUUUGGGAAUGCAGCUCUAAGUGGGUGGUAAAUUCCAUCUAAAGCUAAAUAUUGGCGAGAGACCGAUAGCGAACAAGUACAGUGAUGGAAAGAUGAAAAGAACUUUGAAAAGAGAGUGAAAAAGUACGUGAAAUUGUUGAAAGGGAAGGGCUUGAGAUCAGACUCGGUAUUUUGCAAGCCUAUCCUUCGUGGAGAGGUUUAUUAGCAGCUUACCGGGCCAGCAUCGGUUUGGAUGGUAGGAUAAUGGCAUUGGAAUGUGGCUCCUCGGAGUGUUAUAGCCUUUGUUGAUACUGCCUAUCUAGACCGAGGACUGCGUCUUUGACUAGGAUGCUGGCGUAAUGAUCUUAAGCCGCCCGUCUUGAA
rnacentral:rRNA from 2 species